AACGAACGCUGGCGGUGCGUCUUAAGCAUGCAAGUCGAACGGUAAAAAGAGAGCUUGCUCUUUUUCUAGAGUGGCGGACUGGUGAGUAACGCGUGGAUGAUCUACCUUUGAGAUGGGGAUAGCUUCUAGAAAUAGGAGGUAAUACCGAAUAACCUUAUUAUGUUAUGAUGUAGUAAGAAAAGGGAGCGUCAGCUCCGCUUAAGGAUGAGUCUGCGUCCCAUUAGCUAGUUGGUGAGGUAAGAGCCCACCAAGGCGACGAUGGGUACCCGGCCUGAGAGGGUGAACGGGCACAUUGGGACUGAGAUACGGCCCAAACUCCUACGGGAGGCAGCAGCUGAGAAUCUUCCGCAAUGGACGAAAGUCUGACGGAGCGACACCGCGUGAACGAUGAAGGCCGGAAGGUUGUAAAGUUCUUUUGCAGACAAAGAAUAAAGAUAGAAGGAAAUGACUAUCUGAUGACGGUAGUUAUGCGAAUAAGCCCCGGCUAAUUACGUGCCAGCAGCCGCGGUAAUACGUAAGGGGCGAGCGUUGUUCGGAAUUAUUGGGCGUAAAGGGCAUGUAGGCGGUUAGGUAAGCCUGAUGUGAAAUGUAUGAGCUUAACUCAUAAACUGCAUUGGGUACUGCUUGACUUGAAUCAUGGAGGGGAAACUGGAAUUCCAAGUGUAGGGGUGGAAUCUGUAGAUAUUUGGAAGAACACCGGUGGCGAAGGCGGGUUUCUAGCCAAUGAUUGACGCUAAGGUGCGAAGGUGCGGGGAGCAAACAGGAUUAGAUACCCUGGUAGUCCGCACAGUAAACGAUGUACACUAGGUGUUGGGGUAAGACUCAGUGCCGGAGCAAACGCAAUAAGUGUACCGCCUGGGGAGUAUGCCCGCAAGGGUGAAACUCAAAGGAAUUGACGGGGGCCCGCACAAGCGGUGGAGCACGUGGUUUAAUUCGAUGCAAACCGAAGAACCUUACCUGGGUUUGACAUGUAUGUGGUAGGAGAUGGAAACAUUGACGACGCUGCUUUCGGGCAGUGAGCAUACACAGGUGCUGCAUGGCUGUCGUCAGCUCGUGUCGUGAGAUGUUGGGUUAAGUCCCGCAACGAGCGCAACCCCUGCGAUUAGUUGCCAGCGAGUUAAGUCGGGCACUCUAAUGGGACUGCCAUCGACAAGAUGGAGGAAGGUGGGGAUGACGUCAAGUCAUCAUGGCCCUUAUGUCCAGGGCGACACACGUGCUACAAUGGCCGGUACAGAGGGGAGCGAAGCUGUGAGGCUGAGCGGAUCCCAUAAAGCCGGUCUCAGUUCGGAUUGAAGUCUGCAAUUCGACUUCACGAAGCUGGAAUCGCUAGUAAUCGCAGAUCAGCCAAGCUGCGGUGAAUACGUUCCCGGGCCUUGUACACACCGCCCGUCACACCACCCGAGCCGGGUGUACCCGAAGCCGGUGGCCUAACCUUAGGGGAGGAGCCGUCGAAGGUGUGUCUGGUG
rnacentral:rRNA from 1 species